rnacentral:rRNA from 1 species
GUAAAAGUCGUAACAAGGUCUCCGUAGGUGAACCUGCGGAGGGAUCAUUACACAAAUAUGAAGGCGGGCUGGAACCUCUCGGGGUUACAGCCUUGCUGAAUUAUUCACCCUUGUCUUUUGCGUACUUCUUGUUUCCUUGGUGGGUUCGCCCACCACUAGGACAAACAUAAACCUUUUGUAAUUGCAAUCAGCGUCAGUAACAAAUUAAUAAUUACAACUUUCAACAACGGAUCUCUUGGUUCUGGCAUCGAUGAAGAACGCAGCGAAAUGCGAUAAGUAGUGUGAAUUGCAGAAUUCAGUGAAUCAUCGAAUCUUUGAACGCACAUUGCGCCCUUUGGUAUUCCAAAGGGCAUGCCUGUUCGAGCGUCAUUUGUACCCUCAAGCUUUGCUUGGUGUUGGGCGUCUUGUCUCUAGCUUUGCUGGAGACUCGCCUUAAAGUAAUUGGCAGCCGGCCUACUGGUUUCGGAGCGCAGCACAAGUCGCACUCUCUAUCAGCAAAGGUCUAGCAUCCAUUAAGCCUUUUUUUCAACUUUUGACCUCGGAUCAGGUAGGGAUACCCGCUGAACUUA